rfam:Felis catus isolate Cinnamon breed Abyssinian chromosome A1, whole genome shotgun sequence.
GGAUGCAAGAGCGACCUGGCUGUGACAUCUGUCAGCCCCAUUGAUCACCACUGUUGACUUGGCCUAUCUGACUGGCUAAGCAAGUGUCCCAUUCUUCCCUCAACAUUCCAUGUGCUUUCCUUUCAAAGCUGUGUGCUCAGAGGAUGAUCUUCCCUGAUAGAGGAGGACUAUUCUUUGGUCAAGGGUAUAUGAAUAGCUGUGCUCCCCUACUAAAAUCUCCAAACAAGCUCUCAAGGUCCAUUUGUAGGAGAAGUAGGUGAGUCAAGCUUCCAAGGUUCCAGACAUCCAAAUGAGGCACUGUAUUUGUAUGUGGCAGUUUGCCUGAAAAA